UUAGUUUGUUGGCUGACAUUUUUCAAUUUGCAAUAAAUAAGACAAAAACAAUAACAAAAAGGACCGCAGCGCGAUCUCGAUAACUCAGUCAUAUAUUUUGGCCCUUUACAAUUGUCGAAACAAACGAAAGAAGAGAGAGCUAGAGUGAGAUAGAAAUAGAAGUCUAGCAGCAGACACAUAAAUAACGACAAAAGAAACCGUCUGCUGCACACACACACAUACAGUUACAUCCCCCCACGCAGCAGCCGUCACAACAAAUCGAUGUUUGUCUCAAGGUGAAAAAUCUACCGCAUAACUUGCGUGACUGCGACGUCAAAAAGGUUGCCAUAUCAACAAGCCUUGCAAAGGGACCUUCACGUGUCAAGAGGCUAAAAUCGUAGGAGUGUGAGGGGGAGAAACAUACAUACAUUGUUGACGUCGCUGUUGGCGUGCAGCUUAAGCGCCGACAUUUUGGAAAGUUUUAGCAAAGUGACUGCAGUCAAAGUGCGAGAAGGAGUGCGGCAAAGUGUGUGUGUGUGUGUGUAUGUGUGUAAGUGUAAAGAGCGGCAAUUUGUCAACAUGUGUGAUAAGGCACAAGGUAUUUGUUGCUGUUGUUUCUGUUGCUCUUAUGCUAAUGUAAUUGGAGUUGCGUGCUCAUUGAGGUGUUGAGCUGUUAAUGGUCUACUCUACCAAUAUACACACACUGCCUGCCCGGCUAUUGCAAUCCAAUUAGUACCUAGACGCAGUGCCAUUCAAACUGUAAAAGGUUCUUCUUGUUUGUUGUUUAUCACUUACCUU